GACGAGGGACCUAGCGUUGUUCGGAAUUAUUGGGCGUAAAGCGGGUGUAGGCGGGCUUAUAAGUCAGGUGUGAAAUCCCAGGGCUCAACCCUGGAAGUGCACUUGAUACUGUAAGUCUUGAAUGUGGUAGAGGUUACUGGAAUCCUGGUGUAGUGGUGAAAUACGUAGAUAUCAGGAGGAACACCAGCGGCGAAGGCGGCGCUCUGGGCCGGAACUGACGCUGAGGAGCGAAAGCGUGGGUAGCAAACAGG
rnacentral:rRNA from 1 species